CGGCGAGUGAAGCGGCAACAGCUCAAAUUUGAAAUCUGGCGCAAGCCCGAGUUGUAAUUUGUAGAGGAUGUUUCUGGCGACGUGCCUUCCGAGUUCCCUGGAACGGGACGCCAUAGAGGGUGAGAGCCCCGUACGGUUGGAUGCCUAGCCUCUGUGAAACUCCUUCGACGAGUCGAGUAGUUUGGGAAUGCUGCUCUAAAUGGGAGGUAUACGUCUUCUAAAGCUAAAUACCGGCCAGAGACCGAUAGCGCACAAGUAGAGUGAUCGAAAGAUGAAAAGCACUUUGAAAAGAGGGUUAAAAAGUACGUGAAAUUGUUGAAAGGGAAGCGUUCAUGACCAGACUUGGGCAGGUUGAUCAUCCGUGGUUCUCCGCGGUGCACUCUGCCUGCCCAGGCCAGCAUCAGUUCGCCCCGGGGGAUAAAGGCUUUGGGAAUGUGGCUCCCUCGGGAGUGUUAUAGCCCACUGUGUAAUACCCUGGGGUGGACUGAGGUUCGCGCUCUGCAAGGAUGCUGGCGUAAUGGUCAUCAACGACCCGUCUUGAAACACGGACCAAGGAGUCGUCUUCGUAUGCGAGUGUUCGGGUGUCAAACCCCUACGCGUAAUGAAAGUGAACGUAGGAGAGAGCUUCGGCGCAUCUCCGACCGAUCCUGAUGUUCUCGGAUGGAUUUGAGUAAGAGCAUACGGGGCCGGACCCGAAAGAAGGUGAACUAUGCCUGUAUAGGGUGAAGCCAGAGGAAACUCUGGUGGAGGCUCGCAGCGGUUCUGACGUGCAAAUCGAUCGUCAAAUAUGGGCAUGGGGGCGAAAGACUAAUCGAACCUUCUAGUAGCUGGUUUCCGCCGAAGUUUCCCUCAGGAUAGCAGUAUUGAACUCAGUUUUAUGAGGUAAAGCGAAUGAUUAGGGACCCGGGGGCUAUAUAUUGCCUUCAUCCAUUCUCAAACUUUAAAUAUGUAAGAAGCUCUUGUUGCUUAAUUGAACGUGAGCAUUCGAAUGUAUCAAUACUAGUGGGCCAUUUUUGGUAAGCAGAACUGGCGAUGCGGGAUGAACCGAACGCGAGGUUAAGGUGCCAGAGUAGACGCUCAUCAGACACCACAAAAGGUGUUAGUACAUCCAGACAGUUGGACGGUGGCCAUGGAAGUCGGAAUCCGCUAAGGACUGUGUAACAACUCACCAACCGAAUGUACUAGCCCUGAAAAUGGAUGGCGCUCAAGCGUCUCACCCAUACCUCGCCCUCAGGGUAGAAACGAUGCCCUGAGGAGUAGGCGGAC
rnacentral:rRNA from 1 species